rnacentral:rRNA from 1 species
AUUGAACGCUGGCGGCAGGCCUAACACAUGCAAGUCGAACGGUAACAGGAAGAAGCUUGCUUCUUUGCUGACGAGUGGCGGACGGGUGAGUAAUGUCUGGGAAACUGCCUGAUGGAGGGGGAUAACUACUGGAAACGGUAGCUAAUACCGCAUAACGUCGCAAGACCAAAGAGGGGGACCUUCGGGCCUCUUGCCAUCGGAUGUGCCCAGAUGGGAUUAGCUAGUAGGUGGGGUAACGGCUCACCUAGGCGACGAUCCCUAGCUGGUCUGAGAGGAUGACCAGCCACACUGGAACUGAGACACGGUCCAGACUCCUACGGGAGGCAGCAGUGGGGAAUAUUGCACAAUGGGCGCAAGCCUGAUGCAGCGAUGCCGCGUGUAUGAAGAAGGCCUUCGGGUUGUAAAGUACUUUCAGCGGGGAGGAAGGGAGUAAAGUUAAUACCUUUGCUCAUUGACGUUACCCGCAGAAGAAGCACCGGCUAACUCCGUG